UACGAAGGGGCUAGCGUUGCUCGGAAUCACUGGGCGUAAAGGGUGCGUAGGCGGGUCUUUAAGUCAGGGGUGAAAUCCUGGAGCUCAACUCCAGAACUGCCUUUGAUACUGAAGAUCUUGAGUUCGGGAGAGGUGAGUGGAACUGCGAGUGUAGAGGUGGAAUUCGUAGAUAUUAGGAAGAACACCAGUGGCGAAGGCGGAGCUCACUGCCGGCUAGGUCGGACGCGUGCGUGAGGAAA
rnacentral:rRNA from 1 species